GCAGAUCAGAAGCGAGAAUGUCGACAUGAGUAGCGACAAAGAGGGUGAGAGACCCUCUCGCCGAAAGUCCAAGGGUUCCUGCUUAAAGCUAAUCUGAGCAGGGUAAGCCGGCCCCUAAGGCGAGGCCGAAAGGCGUAGUCGAUGGGAACCAGGUUAAUAUUCCUGGGCCAGUGGGAUGUGACGGAUCUCGAAGAUUGUCUGCCCUUAUCGGAUUGGGUGGGCCGUUCAGAGGUUCCUGGAAAUAGCCCCACAUCAGACCGUACCCUAAACCGACACAGGUGGACUGGUAGAGUAUACCAAGGCGCUUGAGAGAACCACGUUAAAGGAACUCGGCAAAAUGCUCCCGUAAGUUCGCGAGAAGGGAGCCCCAUAUGUACGCAAGUAUGUGUGGGGGGCACAAACUAGGGGGUGGCGACUGUUUACUUAAAACACAGGGCUGUGCGAAGCCGUAAGGCGACGUAUACAGUCUGACGCCUGCCCGGUGCUGGAAGAUUAAGAGGAGGGGUGCAAGCUCUGAAUUGAAGUCCCAGUAAACGGCGGCCGUAACUAUAACGGUCCUAAGGUAGCGAAAUUCCUUGUCGGGUAAGUUCCGACCUGCACGAAUGGCGUAACGAUCUCCCCGCUGUCUCUAACGUGGACUCAGCGAAAUUGAACUGUCUGUCAAGAUGCAGACUACCCGCGGUUAGACGGAAAGGCCCCAUGAACCUUUACUCCAGCUUUGCACUGGUAUCAGGAUUGUGAUGUGCAGGAUAGGUGGUAGGCAUUGAAGCGGGGACGCCAGUCUUCGUGGAGCCUCCCUUGAGAUACCACCCUUCGCCAUCUUGAUAUCUAACCGCGGCCCGUUAUCCGGGUCCGGGACCCUGCAUGGUGGGGAGUUUGACUGGGGCGGUCGCCUCCCAAAUUGUAACGGAGGCGCGCGAUGGUUGGCUCAGACCGGUCGGAAAUCGGUCGUUGAGUGCAAUGGCAGAAGCCAGCCUGACUGCAAGACUGACAAGUCGAGCAGAGACGAAAGUCGGUCAUAGUGAUCCGGUGGUCCCAAGUGGGAGGGCCAUCGCUCAACGGAUAAAAGGUACUCUGGGGAUAACAGGCUGAUGAUGCCCAAGAGUCCAUAUCGACGGCAUCGUUUGGCACCUCGAUGUCGGCUCAUCUCAUCCUGGGGCUGGAGCAGGUCCCAAGGGUAUGGCUGUUCGCCAUUUAAAGAGGUACGUGAGCUGGGUUUAGAACGUCGUGAGACAGUUCGGUCCCUAUCUGCCGUGGGUGCAGGAGACUUGAGAAGAGUUGACCCUAGUACGAGAGGACCGGGUUGAACGAACCACUGGUGGACCAGUUAUCGUGCCAACGGUAGUGCUGGGUAGCUAUGUUCGGACAGGAUAACCGCUGAAGGCAUCUAAGCGGGAAGCCCCCUUCAAAACAAGGUCUCCCUUGAGGGCCGUGGAAGACCACCACGUCGAUAGGCCAGAGGUGUAAGUGCAGCAAUGCAUUCAGCUGACUGGUACUAAUUGCCCGU
rnacentral:rRNA from 1 species